CACUAGCCCUGAUAGCAGCGGCAUCCUUUUUCUGGCCUCGUCUCGUCUUUUGGGAUGAGACCAGACCAGAAAAAGAUAUAGCGAAUAGCAGGAAAUAGC
rnacentral:sRNA from 1 species